rnacentral:rRNA from 1 species
AUACGUAGGUGACAAGCGUUAUCCGGAUUUACUGGGCGUAAAGGGCGUGUAGGCGGUCUUGCAAGUCAGAAGUGAAAUUCCUGAGCUCAACUCGGGCGCUGCUUCUGAAACUGCAGGACUUGAGUGCUGGAGGGGAUAGCGGAAUUCCUAGUGGAGCGGUAAAAUGCGCAGAUAUCAGGAAGAAUACCAGUGGCGAAGGCGGUUUGCUGGCUGCAUACUGACGCUGAAGCGCGAAAGCCAGGGGAGCAAACGGGAUUAGAUACCCCGGUAGUCCUGGCAGUAAACGAUGUAUGCUGGGUGUGAGACUAGCGAUAGUUUCGUGCCGAAGUUAACGCGAUGAGCAUACCGCCUGGGGAGUACGGUCGCAAGUAUGAAACUCAAAUGAAUUGGCGGGG